rnacentral:rRNA from 1 species
UGGGGAAUAUUGGACAAUGGGGGCAACCCUGAUCCAGCAAUACCGCGUGUGUGAAGAAGGCCUGAGGGUUGUAAAGCACUUUCAGUGGGGAGGAGGAUGCUUAGGUUAAGAGCUAGAGUAUUGGACGUUACCCACAGAAGAAGCACCGGCUAACUCCGUGCCAGCAGCCGCGGUAAUACGGAGGGUGCAAGCGUUAAUCGGAAUUACUGGGCGUAAAGGGUGCGUAGGUGGUUAUGUAAGUUAUCUGUGAAAUCCCCGGGCUCAACCUGGGCAGGUCAGAUAAUACUGCAUAACUCGAGUAUGGGAGAGGGUAGUGGAAUUUCCGGUGUAGCGGUGAAAUGCGUAGAGAUCGGAAGGAACACCAGUGGCGAAGGCGGCUACCUGGCCCAAUACUGACACU